AUUGAACGCUGGCGGCAGGCCUAACACAUGCAAGUCGAACGAGUGGCGGACGGGUGAGUAAUGUCUGGGAAACUGCCCGAUGGAGGGGGAUAACUACUGGAAACGGUAGCUAAUACAGCAUACCAUCGGAUGUGCCAAGAUGGGAUUAGCUAGUAGGGGGGGUAACGGCGCACCGAGGCUACGAUCCCUAGCUGGUCUGAGAGGAUGACCAGCCACACGGGAACUGAGACACGGUCCACAUUCCUAAGGGAGGCAGCAGUGGCGAAUAUUGCACAAUGGGCGCAAGCCUGAUGCAGCCAUGCGGCGUGUAUGAAGAAGGCCUUCGGGUUGGAAAGUACUUUCAGCGAGGAGGCGUUACUCGCAGAAGAAGCACCGGCUAACUCCGUGCCAGCAGCCGCGGUAAUAC
rnacentral:rRNA from 1 species